UACGAAGGGGCUAGCGUUGCUCGGAAUUACUGGGCGUAAAGCGCACGUAGGCGGCUUUCUAAGUCAGGGGUGGAAAUCCCGGGGCUCAACCCCGGAACGGCCUUUGAUACUGGGUGUCUUGAGUUCGGAAGAGGUGAGUGGAAUUGCGAGUGUAGAGGUGAAAUUCGUAGAUAGUUCGCAGGAACACCAGUAGGCGAAGGCGG
rnacentral:rRNA from 1 species